UCCAGAGAUGCCUGAGGCCACUUGCCUUUCUGUGGGGCCUGGGUAAUGUACAAGGCUCUGACAUAAGGGUGUGAAGCAAUAGCUAUGCAUUUGGGGGAAAAGACGGAAAUGUCGAGUGACUCUGUUUCCAGUUUCCUCUGGUGUAACGUGCCCUGAGGGUUCCGAAAGUAUUUUUCUUCACAAUUUUAUUUUUUUCAUAUCUUUUGCUUGCUUUUUGAGUUUGAGUAUUUUAUGAUUCCACUUUAUCUCCUUCAUGGAAUUAUUAUUAUACCUCUUUUUAAGUGUUUUUAGUGAUUAACUUAGGUUUUAGAAUAAAGAUUAAAAACAUGAAUCUAGCUUCGCUUCAUAUAAUAUAUGCCACUUUGCACAUUUCCAAUCCUCCCAUUUAUUCCUUGCGCCAUUUUGUCACACAUUUUACUUUUACAAAGGCUGUAAAGAUAUACUUCAUUGUUAUAAUUUCUGCCUUAAACAGAUUUUUUUAAAUAAAGCAAAUAAAUUAAAAAUAAAUAUUGUAUUUUCCUUUCAUUUAUUCUAUUUCUAAUGCUCUUCAUUUCUUUGUGUGGCUUCUAGUUUCUGAUUACAUCCAAUUUCCUCUGUCUGAAGAACCGCCUGAAACAUUUCUCACAGAGUAAGUCUCCUGACAAUAAAUUUCUUUCCUUUUUGAUUGUCUGAGAAAGUCUUUAUUUCUUUUUCACUUUUGAAGGAUAUUUUUGGAGUGUAUAGAAGAAUUCUACGUUGGACGCUUUUUUCUCUCAGCACUUUAGAGAGGUCACUUCAUUGUCUUCUGGGUUUCAUAGUUUCUGAUGAGACAUGGCUUGAUUCUUAUCUUUGUUCCUUGAUAGAUAACUUGUCUAUUUGUUACAGGAACGUGGUCCCAAUCCGGACCCCAGAGAAAGAUCUUGGAUCUCAUGCAAGACAGAAUUCAGGUGUGACUUGUCCACUCUCCCAGCACCACAAGCUUUCUCCUCCUAUUGAAUGUGGCUAG
rnacentral:lncRNA from 13 species